GUAUGGUGCAAGCGUUAUCCGGAUUUACUGGGUGUAAAGGGAGCGUAGACGGAGUGGCAAGUCUGAUGUGAAAACCCGGGGCUCAACCCCGGGACUGCAUUGGAAACUGUCAAUCUAGAGUACCGGAGAGGUAAGCGGAAUUCCUAGUGUAGCGGUGAAAUGCGUAGAUAUUAGGAGGAACACCAGUGGCGAAGGCGGCUUACUGGACGGUAACUGACGUUGAGGCUCGAAAGCGUGGGGAGCAAACAGGAUUAGAUACCCUGGUAGUCCACGCCGUAAACGAUGACUACUAGGUGUCGGGCAGCAAAGCUGUUCGGUGCCGCAGCAAACGCAAUAAGUAGUCCACCUGGGGAGUACGUUCGCAAGAAUG
rnacentral:rRNA from 1 species